UACGUAGGUGGCAAGCGUUGUCCGGAUUUACUGGGCGUAAAGGAUGCGUAGGCGGACAUUUAAGUCAGAUGUGAAAUACCCGAGCUUAACUUGGGUGCUGCAUUUGAAACUGGGUGUCUAGAGUGCAGGAGAGGUAAGUGGAAUUCCUAGUGUAGCGGUGAAAUGCGUAGAGAUUAGGAAGAACACCAGUGGCGAAGGCGGCCUUCUGGGAUGAUCCUGACGCUCAGACACGAAAGCUAGGGGAGCGAACGGG
rnacentral:rRNA from 1 species